ensembl:processed_transcript RIKEN cDNA 4930579K19 gene
UUCCGCGUCUCCCGCUGCUGAGCUGGCCGAUGGAGUGUAUUGCUGUGGCCAGAGUUGGGCGGUGACUAGCGGCGGUCGUGGCUGCUCACCUUCGGUCACGUUCAGAAAGGCAAGAAGAUGGAGCGCAGUGCUGGCUUCCUGCUGAACGUCGGCAGCAGUGGAGGGGCCCGGAAGCGCUAUCCGAACAGCGUGAGCCUCUGGCAGAGAAAAGAAAGCUCUAAAACUGUGUACUCCAGCGGGCUCCGGAACGGGGCCCAGAGCGGUGUCUGGGUCUUGGGUGAAACCGACCCAGGCGGAAAAGAUGUGGGCGCGGCUCCCGCCUUUGAGGCUCCGAGGAGCCCUGAGAUCUUGGUUCUGGAGGCUCCCGGAGGCAGUCGGGUGAUUGCCCUUCAAAGAGCAUCCACCCGGUCGUUUGUUUGGCUAUGUACCUUCAGCUGGUGGUACCGCCACAUCACGUAGGAGUCGUCUCCGUUUUAUUGAUUGGAAAUGUAAGACUCAAAGAACUCGGGUUUACUGGCCAAGAUGGCAUAGUAAGUAGUGUUGUUAAGAUCUGGGCUCAGGGGAGAAUACGCCCUGGAAGCCCAGUGCUCUAUCUGCUAUGCCAAAAUAGCUCUUUAAUAAAUUAGUUGAAUUUCAAAAAAAUGAUUGCCAGGAAAAGUGCAAAUACAUUGUGUACCGAUUUCACACGCACACACCUUUUAAAAAGAUAAUGCUAUGAAACAAGUGGAAGUUGCCCUUAGCUCCUUAUAAACCUCUAGUUGGAGAAAAGCCUAGGUUUCCAGAAAGGAAUUGUAUAGCCUGAGAGAAGUAAGGGUGAGUUUUCAUUAGGUAGUGCCUGGCUCUUGGGAGAUUUAUAGGCCUCAAUUUUUCAUAUACAAAAAGUCAGAUAGUUUCAAAGAUCCAUUUUUACUAUUCUGUCUCAGUAAAAACAAAUUUUCUCUCAGUAAUGAGAUUUUUACAUAAUUGACAUGAAUAAUUACAUAAUCGCAUACUGUAGCGCAACCAAUUGCAAGAAUUAGUUGAAACUUUUUAAAAUGUGAACUAUAUCUAGUGUGGAGAAUAGCUGGGCUUCUAUUAUUUUUGAUUCCUUAAUUCUCUUUGCAUUUUUUUAUUUGACACAGUAUCAAUAAAUAUAAAAUAAAAUAACAUCUCCAUUCCAC